UCUCCUAUGGCGCAAUUGGUGGCGCGUCUGACUGUUAGGCAUGCUUAACCAUGCGCACCCGAACAUUCAUCAGAAGGUUGUUAGUUCGAUCCUAACUGGGAGAG